UGGUUAUGGCUUGGAUCCGCUUUCCAGGACUGCCGGGAUUUCUGUAUAAAAAACGGAUAUUAGAGGAGAUAGUAAACUUGGUCGGACAAGUGGUUAAACUAGAUAUCAAGACAGGUAGUGGAGCAAGGGGACAAUUCGCAAGAAUGGCUGUGUCGAUAGAUAUGGAAAAGCCACUUACCUCGCAAGUCUCGAUCAACGGCAGGAUGCAACGGGUGGAAUUCGAAGCUCUUCCCACGGUAUGUUUUUCUUGUGGCAACUAUGGCCAUCUAAAAAGCUCUUGUUUUUCUUCUUUGACAGAUCGGAACAUACACGGUGGUAAGGAGGACUCACCUAAGGCGAUGGACAAGGAAGCAGAUCCGGCGGCGGCGGCGGCAGACGCCUUUGGUCCGUGGAUGGUAGUCCAGCGCAAAUCAAGGCGCAAUCAGGCUGGAAAACGAAAUCAGAAGGCGAAAGUUGCGGAAGGAAAUCUGGCUGGCUCCAGAUUCGCGGCGUUAAACUCUCUAGACAAACAACCAGUAGAUUUGGG
rnacentral:lncRNA from 1 species